UACGUAGGGUCCAAGCAUUAUCCGGAUUUAUUGGGCGUAAAGCACAUGUAGGUGGUUAUGUCAGUCGCUGCUUAAAUCUCUGGGCUCAACCUGGGAAUGGCGCUUGUGACUGCAAAGCUGGAGUGCGGCAGAGGGGGAUGGAAUUCCGCGUGUAGCAGUGAAAUGCGUAGAUAUGCGGAGGAACACCAAUGGCGAAGGCAAUCCCCUGGGCCUGCACUGACGCUCAUGCACGAAAGCGUGGGGAGCAAACAGGAUUAGAUACCC
rnacentral:rRNA from 1 species